GAGAAGACAUUCAUAUAAGUGUAAAGAUGGAUGAGAGAAAGAAGAUCUACGCCGAUGAUGAAGUCUUAGCCUAGAUUAAGGACAAGAGCAGGAUGGCCUAUGUUAAGUCCUGGAAGGAUUUUAAAAACUUCAAUAUCGAUUUUGAAUUUGAGGAAGGCCACCCUGAAGAGGAGGCUAUUAUUGUCUAUUUUAAACAUCUAAAACUGGAGAAAAAAAUGGCAACUUCUACUACAUCAACAGUGUCAUGAAGAGAAAGUACGGCUGGAAGCUUCAGACCCUUCCCAGGAUCACAAUAAGGAUGAAGGGGUUUGAGGGAGGUAUUCAGCAUAAGGCUGCCAUAUUUGAAGAGGAGGACCUCAAGAAGUUCUGGAUGAAGAAGCUGGACACAGCCUACUGGGAGGUGAGGCAGGCAAUCUCUAAUACUGCGUAAUUUGGAGACUGAGUAGUUGACAACCCAGCACAUGGGCACUAACUCUGUGUUCAAGCUGCCCCACAAGAUUGCUGCUCUUCUCAAGCUAUCUGACCCUUCUGAGUACACUUUCCAUUCCUUCAGGAGGACCAGCGCCACCAGGGCAGCCGAUGCAUGGGCCACAACAGAGCAGCUGGUAGAUUUCUUUGGUUGGAAAAAUGCGUCCAUGAGUCAGGAGUACAUCUCUUCCUGUAGGCCUGCCAUCUUGGGAAUGGCCAACAGGCUCUGUGUCACUGGUGUAAACAACACCACUAAGCCCAGGAUAGAUGACACUGA